CAUAGGUAGCUUGCGUUUGUCUUAGCUGGUAUUGAAUGUGAUAGGUAUCAUAAGACACACGCGGCUAUUUUUG
rfam:Aedes aegypti strain Liverpool supercont1.229 genomic scaffold, whole genome shotgun sequence.